rnacentral:rRNA from 1 species
CGGCACGGGUGAGUAACACGUAUCCAACCUGCCGUCUACUCUUGGACAGCCCUCUGAAAGGAAGAUUAAUACAAGAUGGCAUCAUGAGUUCACAUGUUCACAUGAUUAAAGGUAUUCCGGUAGACGAUGGGGAUGCGUUCCAUUAGAUAGUAGGCGGGGUAACGGCCCACCUAGUCUUCGAUGGAUAGGGGUUCUGAGAGGAAGGUCCCCCACAUUGGAACUGAGACACGGUCCAA